AUUGGCUAUCGGCCGCGGCAAAGGCAGCUUGGGGACCCAGCGUGCGCGGGGCCCGCGGGCCGGGCCGGGGUGACCUGGGCUGCAGCCAUGGAAGAACAGAGGAUGCUGCUGAACGUGGAGGUGAAGGCGGUGGGGGAGUCCUGGGGAGGCGAACUCGGCGAAGGUGCAGGAGGACCUCGAAGCAGAGUUCCAGUCCCUCUUCUCCCUCCUGGAGGAGCUGAAAGAAGGCAUGCUUAUGAAGAUAAAACAGGACCGUGCCAGCCGCACCUACGAGCUGCAGAACCAGCUGGCUGCCUGCACGCGGGCCCUAGAGAGCUCCGAGGAGCUUCUGGAGACAGCCAACCAGACUCUGCAGGCCAUGGACAGCGAGGACUUUCCUCAGGCUGCCAAGCAAAUCAAAGAUGGAGUGACCAUGGCCCCUGCCUUCCGGCUGUCAUUGAAAGCGAAGGUCAGUGACAACAUGAGUCACCUCAUGGUGGACUUCGCACAAGAGCGGCAGAUGCUGCAGGCACUCAAGUUCCUGCCUGGUGAGAGGGGCACGCGCUGGAGGGCCAGGACUUCCAGGGAAUGACCUGGGAGGCUAGGAGGCCCUGAAACAGGACCUGGAGUAAGGUGGACGGCCCGGUGUCUGAAUUCCGCCGGGGGGAGGUGGAGCUCUGAGAAUUCCACGCCCUGUGGGGGGUGGAGUCCUCAUGGAGCCCCGCCCCUGGGUGGAGCCAUGGGAAGACCCCCCCACCUACUGUGUAGUGACAUCCUGGGAAAACUGUCCCCAGGGAUGGAGCUGUGAGAAUACCAUGUCCUGUGGGGGUGGUUGAGUCCUCAUGAAGCCCCGCCCUGGGGUGGAGCUAUGAGAAGGCCAAACUCACCAGGUGGGAAAAUCCUGUCCCCAGGGGUGGAGCCCUGAGAAUAGCACAUCCUGUGGGGGUGGGGUAUUCAUCAAGUCCCGCCCAUGGGUGGAGCCAUCAGAAAGCUCCACCCACCAGGGGGUGAGGUCCUGGGAAAACUCUGUCCCCAGGGGUGGAGCCCUGAGAAUACCAUGCCCUUGGGGGAGUAGCGUCCUCCUGAGACCUCCUCCCUGGAUAGAGCCAUGAGAAGGGCCCGCCCACCACACUGUAGCUCUUGGGAAAACCCUGUUUCCAGGGAUGGAGCCCUGAGAAGGCCACGCCCCCCAGGAGAAAUGGAGUGAGAACCCAGCCUGUCUAUGAUGCAGCCCCAAAGAAAGCCACAUCCUCAUUGGCAGAGAUUUUGGAAUAAUUCUGCCUGUAAAUGAUGGAAUCCCAAGAAAGCUCAGCCCUCCCCCAGCCCGCUGAUGGAAUCUUAGAGUCUCCAUGGCCGGGCGCGGUGGCUCACACCUGGAAUCCCAGCACUUCGGGAGGCCCAGGCGGGUGGAUCACUUGAGGUCAGGAGUUCAAGACCAGCCUGGCCAACAUGGAGAAACCCUGUUUCUACUAAAAAUAUAAAAAAUUAGCCGGCCAUGGUGGCUCACGACUGUAAUCCCAGCUAUUCA
rnacentral:sRNA from 1 species